AACGGACGAGAAGCUUGCUUUUCUGAUGUUAGCGGCGGACGGGUGAGUAACACGUGGAUAACCUACCUAUAAGACUGGGAUAACUUCGGGAAACCGGAGCUAAUACCGGAUAAUAUUUUGAACCGCAUGGUUCAAAAGUGAAAGACGGUCUUGCUGUCACUUAUAGAUGGAUCCGCGCUGCAUUAGCUAGUUGGUAAGGUAACGGCUUACCAAGGCAACGAUGCAUAGCCGACCUGAGAGGGUGAUCGGCCACACUGGAACUGAGACACGGUCCAGACUCCUACGGGAGGCAGCAGUAGGGAAUCUUCCGCAAUGGGCGAAAGCCUGACGGAGCAACGCCGCGUGAGUGAUGAAGGUCUUCGGAUCGUAAAACUCUGUUAUUAGGGAAGAACAUAUGUGUAAGUAACUGUGCACAUCUUGACGGUACCUAAUCAGAAAGCCACGGCUAACUACGUGCCAGCAGCCGCGGUAAUACGUAGGUGGCAAGCGUUAUCCGGAAUUAUUGGGCGUAAAGCGCGCGUAGGCGGUUUUUUAAGUCUGAUGUGAAAGCCCACGGCUCAACCGUGGAGGGUCAUUGGAAACUGGAAAACUUGAGUGCAGAAGAGGAAAGUGGAAUUCCAUGUGUAGCGGUGAAAUGCGCAGAUAUCAGGAGGAACACCGAUGGCGAAGGCAGGUUACUGGGCAGUUACUGACGCUGAGGAGCGAAAG
rnacentral:rRNA from 1 species